rnacentral:rRNA from 1 species
GACGAACGCUGGCGGCGUGCUUAACACAUGCAAGUCGAACGGAAAGGCCCUGCUUGCAGGGUACUCGAGUGGCGAACGGGUGAGUAACACGUGUGUGAUCUGCCCUGCACUUCGGGAUAAGCCUGGGAAACUGGGUCUAAUACCGGAUAGGAGCCAUUUUUAGUGUGAUGGUUGGAAAGUUUUUUCGGUGUAGGAUGAGCUCGCGGCCUAUCAGCUUGUUGGUGGGGUAAUGGCCUACCAAGGCGGCGACGGGUAGCCGGCCUGAGAGGGUGGACGGCCACAUUGGGACUGAGAUACGGCCCAGACUCCUACGGGAGGCAGCAGUGGGGAAUAUUGCACAAUGGGCGCAAGCCUGAUGCAGCGACGCCGCGUGGGGGAUGACGGCAUUCGGGUUGUAAACUCCUUUCGCUAGGGACGAAGCUUUUGUGACGGUACCUAGAGAAGAAGCACCGGCUAACUACGUG